AGUGUGUUUUCUACUUAUCUCUGUGUGUAGUACACUAUCUGUGAGUGCCUGCCCACAGAAAUAUGUAGGCCUCCUGUAGCUGCCUUGUUCCUGUGCACCAAGGAAGCUGGAGGGAGCCAGGCUGGGGGCCUAAGAAGCCCAGACCCUAUAUUCUGUCAGGGUGAGGGGCCUCUGCAACUCCCCAGCGCUGACAGUGAGCCCACUUCACCCUCAGCUGCUGGGCCUCUCUAUGGCCACCAUGGUGGUUGUCAUUCACUUUGGAGACCACUUUACUGUGAUUGGCCAUGCAUCGUUGGAGAGGAACCCCUAUGAAACACUGCGCUAUUGGGGUAAGUGAGACCAGAAAUGGCUGUGGAGUGGAAGUGAGAGGGCUCCAGGGCCAAACACAUCUGGGAGGAACAGACCUUACUCCCCAGCCCUAGGCUGCCCAGAGGAGCUGGCUUUGGCCAAAAACCAGAGGUCAGGAGUAGGGAGAGGCAGCCCCAGUGUCUGGGUUGGACUAACAAAGGUGGGGAGGUUUAGGCGACAGCAGGCACUCCUGCCUUGAUUCGCCUGCCCCAUAGCAGUGGUGAAGCUGUGGCAGGGCCCAGAUCUAUGUGUUCAGGGCAGGGAUCUCCUGGGGCCCACUCAGGUGGGCCUGUGGGGCUUGGCAGGGAAUACCAUAUACAGAGGGCAGAAAAUGUGCAGCUAGGACCCAACCUGCCAGGGUGCCUCACUUCCACAAGAACAAGGCCACUUUAAUAAGAGGAAUGCAAGGAAUCUAGGAAGGUCACCACCCAGUAGGAAAAAGUGGAAAACUGAGGCCCCUGAAUGGGGGAUGGGUAGCCCCAGUCCCUGCCUUCCAAGGCACUAGGCCUCCCUUAGGCAGGAAGCCUGGGGCCUGGGCCUGCACUGAUAAGGUACAGCCUACACUGUCACCUGUCACUAGAGUAUGGGGAUGUCCUUAAAGAUAGUCUGUGAGGCAGGGAGGACAGGAGGAAUGGGGGAAAGAGUACUGUCUCUUAGCUACCUUCUCUUCCCCCUUCCUUCUCAGCCUCAGGAGGACAGGCUAUUGGGCUAUGGACAUUCCUUCUUUUGAGCCAGAGAUAUGUGCCUUUUGGGACCUCCCCGAAGGUCAGUUCUAGCUCUGUGACUCCCAAAGUAGAUAGAUUUCAGAUCCAACCUCUAUGCCCAGUCCCCAGGCUAGAUUCCAUACCCUCUGUCUUUCUCUUCCCACAGCCUUCUAUGUGGGGAUCAGCCUAGCGGGGCUCCUGAGCCUGGGAGCUGCUCUGAGCACCAUAGCCACUGUGAGGGAGGCCCAUGGCCUCAUGGCUGCGGUAAGUUCCAUGUGCUGCCAGACGACCCCGGCUCCCAGACCUCAGACGGGGACAAGAGCUGGAGAGGAAUAAGACCAGGGAGCUGCCUGACCCCAGCAGAAGUAUCCAGAAAGAAGCAAAGGUCAGGGGAUAUAGACCAGUGAGUCCCUCCACUUACACAGUCAGGACCUUCCACUUGCUCAAUCAGGACCCUCCUACCUGGACCAG
rnacentral:lncRNA from 1 species